rnacentral:rRNA from 1 species
UACGUAGGGGGCGAGCGUUGUCCGGAAUCACUGGGCGUAAAGGGCGCGUAGGUGGCUCGGUCAGUCAGCGGUGAAAGUUCGGGGCUCAACCCCGAAUCGGCCGUCGAUACUCCCGGGCUCGAGCACUGUAGAGGCUAAUGGAAUUCCGGGUGUAGCGGUGGAAUGCGUGGAGAUCCGGAAGAACACCGGUGGCGAAGGCGGUUAGCUGGGCAGUUGCUGACGCUGAGGCGCGACAGCGUGGGGAGCAAACAGG